AUUGAACGCUGGCGGCAGGCUUAACACAUGCAAGUCGAGCGGAGAUGAGGUGCUUGCACCUUAUCUUAGCGGCGGACGGGUGAGUAAUGCUUAGGAAUCUGCCUAUUAGUGGGGGACAACAUUCCGAAAGGAAUGCUAGUACCGCAUACGUCCUACGGGAGAAAGCAGGGGAUCUUCGGACCUUGCGCUAAUAGAUGAGCCUAAGUCGGAUUAGCUAGUUGGUGGGGUAAAGGCCUACCAAGGCGACGAUCUGUAGCGGGUCUGAGAGGAUGGUCCGCCACACUGGGACUGAGACACGGCCCAGACUCCUACGGGAGGCAGCAGUGGGGAAUAUUGGACAAUGGGGGGAACCCUGAUCCAGCCAUGCCGCGUGUGUGAAGAAGGCCUUAUGGUUGUAAAGCACUUUAAGCGAGGAGGAGGCUACUGAGACUAAUACUCUUGGAUAGUGGACGUUACUCGCAGAAUAAGCACCGGCUAACUCUGUGCCAGCCGCCGCCGUAAAAC
rnacentral:rRNA from 1 species